GCAGUCGAACGGUGAACACGGAGCUUGCUCUGUGGGAUCAGUGGCGAACGGGUGAGUAACACGUGAGCAACCUGCCCCUGACUCUGGGAUAAGCGCUGGAAACGGCGUCUAAUACUGGAUAUGUGACGUGACCGCAUGGUCUGCGUCUGGAAAGAAUUUCGGUUGGGGAUGGGCUCGCGGCCUAUCAGCUUGUUGGUGAGGUAAUGGCUCACCAAGGCGUCGACGGGUAGCCGGCCUGAGAGGGUGACCGGCCACACUGGGACUGAGACACGGCCCAGACUCCUACGGGAGGCAGCAGUGGGGAAUAUUGCACAAUGGGCGCAAGCCUGAUGCAGCAACGCCGCGUGAGGGACGACGGCCUUCGGGUUGUAAACCUCUUUUAGCAGGGAAGAAGCGAAAGUGACGGUACCUGCAGAAAAAGCGCCGGCUAACUACGUGCCAGCAGCCGCGGUAAUACGUAGGGCGCAAGCGUUAUCCGGAAUUAUUGGGCGUAAAGAGCUCGUAGGCGGUUUGUCGCGUCUGCUGUGAAAUCCGGAGGCUCAACCUCCGGCCUGCAGUGGGUACGGGCAGACUAGAGUGCGGUAGGGGAGAUUGGAAUUCCUGGUGUAGCGGUGGAAUGCGCAGAUAUCAGGAGGAACACCGAUGGCGAAGGCAGAUCUCUGGGCCGUAACUGACGCUGAGGAGCGAAAGGGUGGGGAGCAAACAGGCUUAGAUACCCUGGUAGUCCACCCCGUAAACGUUGGGAACUAGUUGUGGGGUCCAUUCCACGGAUUCCGUGACGCAGCUAACGCAUUAAGUUCCCCGCC
rnacentral:rRNA from 1 species